AGGGACCCUGCGGAAAAGACCGAAGAGACUCGGGUUGGUCUCCAGCCGCGGCCGGAAACGCUCGGGUGACAUCCCUUGAAUACCGGAAAUUGCCGAAGGCGCUCGGCUCCCCACAAGCUUCGGAAAUAGCCGACGAGUGCGGAGACUGACAACAAGAGUACCAAUUGUGGCAGUGAUUUUGACACGUGACUUUUGCCCACUGGGAGAUAGACUGAACCAUUUCUUUACUAGAACUUUCCGCUACAAAAGCAAAGAACAACAUGCAUCUGCUGGCCUUGUGAUCACUGAGCCUUGCUUCAUUACCCAGAGAUUUGAGAAGCUGGAGUGAAUGAUGCCAAAUGCCCCCAACCCUGGCCCCUUUUCAUUGGCUGGAGAUCCUCAGUGUGAAGAAGCUGUCUGAUCUAGCAAGUCAGGUCUUCACACGCAAGCCAGAAAAGUAGGUUCUCUUCGCUGUACUCUGUUCGAAGAAACUCUCUGAAAAGGUUCCUACCAGCUGGUGUUUUCAUCAUCUUGUCAAAAUUCUGAGCCCAAGACAUAAUUUCAUCUGCAGUAGGGUUUUGGCUGCAAAAAGAAAGUAUCAUUAGAAUAUGCUUCUGUUUUUGUAAUAGUGUUUACAUACAUUGGGCCAAAUUCUCCUCAGUUACGCUGUAGUCAAGAACUAAUGAAAACAAUGGGGCUUCAUUCAUAACUAUAGAGUUUUGCACGGUGUUCACUUCUGUGUUCAUAAUCCCAAUACCAAUUAAAUUUGUUUUAUUUUAA